GCUACCCGGGCUCAGUCAUCCGAGAUCGCGAAGCGCGUCGGAGCCAGUGUCCGAGCCAAUCUACCCAUCAGGAGACAAGAGAGGGAGAGAGAGAAAGCAGUCUACUUCAGAUAUUACCCCCCUGCGUUUGGCCCCCAGCAGUGUGUGCCGAUGUGGAGCUGACACAGUGAGGGAGUCUGGACGCAUGAUGCCCAAGUUUCUAUAGAUCUCAAAGGAAUGCAGCAAGACACAUUAUUAAUGUCAAGCCUGGAAGACCCCUGCCACUUUGAUGUGUGAGCACACCCACCAAUAAUGGCCUAUAGGAUACACAGUGGAAAUACAGCUGAGGCAGACGUGUUCAUGUAUCCCGUUCAGGUCAACCUGCAGACUUUCUCCCACA